rnacentral:rRNA from 1 species
UACAGAGGGGGCAAGCGUUGUUCGGAAUUACUGGGCGUAAAGGGCGCGUAGGCGGCCUGUUAAGUCGGACGUGAAAUCCCCGGGCUCAACCCGGGAACUGCGUCCGAUACUGGCAGGCUUGAAUCCGGGAGAGGGAUGUGGAAUUCCAGGUGUAGCGGUGAAGUGCGUAGAUAUCUGGAGGAACACCGGUGGCGAAGGCGGGUCUCUGGGCCAUUACUGACGCUGAGGAGCGAAAGCGUGGGGAGCGAACAGG